GAACCUUCGGGGAACGAUAUCGGCGUCGAGCGGCGGACGGGUGAGUAAUGCCUGGGAAAUUGCCCUGAUGUGGGGGAUAACCAUUGGAAACGAUGGCUAAUACCGCAUAAUAGCUUCGGCUCAAAGAGGGGGACCUUCGGGCCUCUCGCGUCAGGAUAUGCCCAGGUGGGAUUAGCUAGUUGGUGAGGUAAGGGCUCACCAAGGCGACGAUCCCUAGCUGGUCUGAGAGGAUGAUCAGCCACACUGGAACUGAGACACGGUCCAGACUCCUACGGGAGGCAGCAGUGGGGAAUAUUGCACAAUGGGCGCAAGCCUGAUGCAGCCAUGCCGCGUGUGUGAAGAAGGCCUUCGGGUUGUAAAGCACUUUCAGUCGUGAGGAAGGUAGUGUGUUUAAUAGAUGCAUUAUUUGACGUUAGCGACAGAAGAAGCACCGGCUAACUCCGUGCCAGCAGCCGCGGUAAUACGGAGGGUGCGAGCGUUAAUCGGAAUUACUGGGCGUAAAGCGCAUGCAGGUGGUGUGUUAAGUCAGAUGUGAAAGCCCGGGGCUCAACCUCGGAAUUGCAUUUGAAACUGGCAGACUAGAGUACUGU
rnacentral:rRNA from 1 species